rnacentral:rRNA from 1 species
AUGGAUCUCAUGAGUUGGAACUGCCGGGGAGGGGGGAAUUCCCGGACAGUUCGCGAGCUAGCGACGCUUGUGCAGUCGCAUUCCCCCAGGAUGGUGUUUUUGUGUGAGAUAAGACAGAAAGAAGAUAAAAUGAGAAGGUUGAGAGGCCGGCUGGGCCUAGAAGGCUUUACUAGUGUGGACAGCAAUGGCCUCAGCGGGGCCUUGCUCUUUUUUGACAUGAAAGUCUGCUAG